AAGCCUGUGGCCGGUUGGCCUCUAGGCAAUGUGGUGUUCAGGUUAGCUCGCGGAGGUGCUGCUCCACCCUAAGUCCUAUUAUGAGUAAGGUUACUCGGACGUGGCCCAGUGAGGGUGAAAGGCCCGUGGGGGUGGAGACUCAGAUUGGACAGUAUCUCCCUGAGCAGACCUUGGAGUCGGGUUGUUUGUGAAUGCAGCCCAAAGUGGGUGGUAAACUCCAUCCAAGGCUAAAUACUUGCACGAGUCCGAUAGCGAACAAGUACCGUGAGGGAAAGUUGAAAAGUACUUUGAAGAGAGAGUAAACAGUGCGUGAAACCGUUCAGAGGUAAACAGGUGGAGUUGAACUGCAAGCUCUGAGGAUUCAGCUGGUGAGAUUGGCAUGAUCUUGGUCAUGUGGGUUGUGUUAUCGGGUCUGCUUAGCUGCAGGUCCCCGCUUCGGCGGGGGUGCGCGAAUCACUUAUCAAGUGUUGUGCGCCCGGUUAAUGACGAGCCCGCUCGCCAGUGCACUUUCUCAGAGUGUUCACCACGACCGGCGUUGCCGUCUGGCUGUUGCGGUUAAACCGGCCUGGUAGGGUCCUUGUGGCUCUGCUAGGUCGGGAUGGCAGGUAGCCUGUUGUACAAUUUAUUGUGCUCCGGGUGUAAUAGCCGACUGCUUCGGUUCUGUGCGGUGCGUCGGAGACGGCGGCUUGUUGUGCUUGCAGGCGUGCCUGCUGUGCUGGCGGCUCUGAGUCUGGUUGCCUUGUUGCUUGUGAAUACAAGCCAGGUGAUGGCUUGGUGUCGUUUGGUCGGCGGUUGCGUUUGUUGCACUUUAAAAGGGCCCAUAGUCUGUGGUGUAGUGGUAGACUAUCCACCUGACCCGUCUUGAAACACGGACCAAGGAGAGUAACAUGUGCGCGAGUCAUUGGGCGUUACGAAACCCAAAGGCGCAGUGAAAGUAAAGGCUUGGCUUGUCUGAGCUGAGGUGAGAUCCUGUCGUUUCUCAUGCGCGGUACUACCAAGCUUCGAGCGGCAGGCGCAUCACCGGCCCGUCCCAUGGCGUGGAGGCAGCCUCGUGCUUGCUCAUCGUCGGGGCGGAGCAUGAGCGUACAUGUUGAGACCCGAAAGAUGGUGAACUAUGCUUGCGCAGGUUGAAGCCAGAGGAAACUCUGGUGGAGGACCGCAGCGAUUCUGACGUGCAAAUCGAUCGUCAAACGUGAGUAUA
rnacentral:rRNA from 1 species